rnacentral:rRNA from 1 species
UACGGAGGGUGCAAGCGUUGCUCGGAAUUAUUGGGCGUAAAGGGUAGGUAGGUGGUCUCAUUUGUCUGGGGUGAAAUCCUUGAGCUUAACUCAAGAAGUGCCUCAGAAACGGUGAGACUAGAGUUCUGGAGAGGGUCGUGGAAUUCCCGGUGUAGCGGUGAAAUGCGUAGAGAUCGGGAAGAACACCAAGGGCGAAAGCACUUUGCUGGGCCGACACUGACACUGAGAGACGAAAGCCAGGGGAGCGAACGGG